CGCUGGCGGCGUCGCCUAACACAUGCAAGUCGAGCGGAGAGUUCGGGGGAGCUUGCUCCACUGGAAUUCAGCGGCGGACGGGUGAGUAACGCGUGAGCAACCUGCCUUCAACAGGGGGAUAACGCAUCGAAAGAUGUGCUAAUACCGCAUGAGACCACAACAUCACAUGGUGAAGGGGUCAAAGGAGCAAUCCGGUUGAAGAUGGGCUCGCGUCCGAUUAGCUGGUUGGUGAGACAACAGCCCACCAAGGCGACGAUCGGUAGCCGACCUGAGAGGGUGAUCGGCCACAUUGGAACUGAGAUACGGUCCAGACUCCUACGGGAGGCAGCAGUGGGGAAUAUUGGGCAAUGGGCGAAAAGCCUGACCCAGCAACGCCGCGUGAGGGAAGAAGGGUUUCGGCUCGUAAACCUCUGUCCUGUGGGACGAAGGAAGUGACGGUACCACAGGAGGAAGCCCCGGCUAACUACGUGCCAGCCGCGGC
rnacentral:rRNA from 1 species